rnacentral:lncRNA from 1 species
CCCUACUGGGCUACUGGCUAUCUUUAUGCUAGCUAGUGAAAGUCAAUUAGUACCUCAACCUGCUACAAGAUGAAGCUGCCCAGCCAGAGGUGUACCUGCUGCAGAAAGGAGAAGAGCACAGUAUGGCAUCUGAACAGAUCAUCAUGAACUUCAUUCAGUUACAUCAGCCAAUGCAGACCAUUCCAACAGUCCAGUCACUCAGCCCUAUCCAGAAACUCUCAAGGUCCUACACUACUUCCUCCUACAACACCCUGAUGAGAAUUCACUCACUCAGUAGCCUGGGUGAUGGCACCUACAGGCCUGUUUGAGGGACAAUUGGACAGAACAUAUCAGAAUGCUUGGACCUCGGCUGAGACUCACCUCUCCUUCCCAGUCUUUCAAGGAAAGCACCUACUUUACACUUCCUGUUUGGCAUGAUGCUCUCUAGGUGUGUCUCUUUCAUGUUGUGUGGUACAUUACCUAUAGAUGACUCCUAGACACUUUCACAUAGUUUGUCUCUAAAUUGGUGUCCACAUCAGGCUAUUUACUUGUUACCUGUGUGUUAGAAUAAUGCGUCCCUUUCACAUAAUUUCAAUGAUUCCUCCACUGCCACAUGCUCUGUCUUUCUCGCCAUGAUACAUUAGGGGAAGUUGCUUUUCUGUUGGCACCAAUCCCACGCUGCCAGUAGUUUUUUUUGGCUCUGUGUAAAACAAAAUAAAACAUACCAUUCCAUCUCUUAAUUUCAACAAUGUGUACAAAUGUGGUAUGUUUGGUAUUUUUUGGUAGUAAAUCUCGCUCAUUUGUGCCUCUGUUUCAGAAACUCAGUCAUAUUUUUACACCUAUUUUCAACUUCAGUACCAAAAUGUUCUGGCUGAUCCCAUAGGAUACGUGUGCAAUGCUAAAAGUAGGGCUUAGGUUUGAAAGCUCUUGUAUGGUGUUUAUCAUUAGAAAUUUGGUUGGCACUAUGCUGGUCCAAAGGUUCCAUGGCCACAAUAAAGCUAGAUUAUGAUUCAGAAUGUCAUGGGAAUUUUCUACCAGAAUAUUUUUGACCAGGAUAACAGAGGACCUACUGCCAAAUGCCUCUGGAUUUUCAGAUUGAUACAGAGAAGAUAAUGUCUCAACACUCCCCAGCCAAUCAGUGUUUGCAACUCGGUAGCAUUGGAAAUGACACCCUUCAAGUAUGGAG